rnacentral:tRNA from 1 species
GUCUCCAUCGUCUAGAGGCCUAGGACAUCGGGUUCUCAUCCCGGCAACAUGGGUUCGAAUCCCAUUGGAGAUGCCA